rnacentral:rRNA from 1 species
GACGAACGCUGGCGGCGUGCUUAACACAUGCAAGUCGAACGGACAGACAGAGAGCUUGCUCUCUUGAAGUUAGUGGCGAACGGGUGAGUAACGCGUAAUCAACCUGCCCUUCAGAGGGGGAUAACAACGGGAAACCGUUGCUAAUACCGCGUACGAUUCAUGAACGGCAUCGUUUAUGAAUGAAAGGUGGCCUCUAUGUAUAAGCUACCGCUGACGGAGGGGAUUGCGUCUGAUUAGCUAGUUGGAUGGGUAACGGCCCACCAAGGCAAUGAUCAGUAGCCGGUCUGAGAGGAUGAACGGCCACAUUGGGACUGAGACACGGCCCAAACUCCUACGGGAGGCAGCAGUGGGGAAUCUUCCGCAAUGGACGAAAGUCUGACGGAGCAACGCCGCGUGAGUGAUGAAGGUCUUCGGAUUGUAAAGCUCUGUUAAUCGGGACGAUAGAGUUCUGCGUGAAUAAUGCAGAAAAGUGACGGUACCGGAAUAGAAAGCCACGGCUAACUACGUGCCAGCCGCCGCAGUAA